CGAUCGACAUCCUCGGCCGAGUUUUCCCGUGGCGGUUCCGUUCGUAUGCGCGGUCGUCUCCUUCCGAGGAGGAUGAAGAGGUAACUGCUCUGUGAUUCGAUCUGCAGGAUUCUAUGCGUAGAAUUCCAUGUGGCCUUCUGUGUGGUAGGUGGUCGACCAAUGAGACCGUGACACAUCGGCUAUAAUCCGCAAAAGAUUACUUAUUCAAUAUAAUUCACAUUGUAAAUCCGUUUUGACCCGUUACAGAUUUCAUUAGUUUCGUAAUGAAAUUGUCUAUGUGUUAGUAAUAUUACUUUGCUGCAACGUGCGUUUUAUAUAAUUAAUAAAUUAUUUGUUCAUCCAUUAGUUAUUAAAAAUUCACCAGCCAAUUAAAAACUAAUCUAUAGUUUAAAUCUGCGCAUUUGUAUAUGAUUAUUCUGAUCGAAGUGCUUUUGAAUUAAUAUGUUUAAUAUACACAUGAUAUUUGUUAGUGAUCCCUGCACGUCGCGUGCGCUGUCGCACGCGUUGUUUCGCGUGCCAUCCACACGUUGUUUCGCGCAUUGCAGCAUGCUGAUUCGCACGCAGUUCGCGCAUUGUCGCGCACAUUAUUUCGUCAGUCAGUCGCAUGCUGUUUGCGCGUCACCAUUGUUCGAUCGUGCGUUCGCGCUGCGUGUCUGGUGCGCGCGAUGUCGCGUGCUGUUCGCUCACAUCGUCACGCGCUAUUUGCUCGUGGUCACACGUGGUCGUGCGCGCUUUCCGUGUGCUCCUUCACACGUGACGCGCGCGCUGUUCCCACGUGUGACGAUCGUUGUCGUCGUGUCGCAUAUUUUAGUUGAAUAACCAAUUAUUAGUUUGUUCGAAGGUUAAUAAAAUAACAAUCUAAUUAGAACGAGUCUAUAGCUUUAACUCGUGCUUUUACAAGGAUAAAUGUUAAUUAAUGUGAUUAAUACCAACUGAAAUACUUUUCGUUAAUUAUUUGUUUGUUGUUCGCGCGCGACAUCGUUUGCGCGUUAUCGUGCUGUUCGUGCGCGUAGACGUGUUGACUCGCACGUGUCGCGCGCUGCCAUGCACGUUGUUUCGCAUGUCGCCGUGCUGCUUCGCGAGCGUCGUCGCGUGUGCUGUUCGCACACGUUGUCGCGCACCGUUCGCGUGUGUCGCGCGGCGUCUGCGCGUGAUAAUAAAUAGUUUGUCGCUUAUAAGCACUCAUGUUAAUAACGUUAGUUCGUCAGAUCGCAUAUUUUAGAUAAUUAACUUAAAGUUUGCUCGACUAAUAUUUACUAGAUUAAUAUUUCAAUCAGAUUAAAUAUGUAGUGUUCAACUUGGGCUUUUAUAAUAAACAUUGACAUGACAAAUAUCAAGUUAACUACUAUUUAUAUAUUUAAUAUUUGUUUAGUACAAAUGCGUCACCUGUUUAGUUUUUCGCCUGUCGCGCGUGUUGUUCCGCACGUGGUAACGUGCUGGUCCACGCGUCGUUCGCGCCGGUCGUCCGCCCUGUCCCGUGCGUCGUUCGCGUGCUAUGUCGCGUGUGUCCACUCGUCGUCUGCACGCUGUCGUAUUGUUUCGUGCGUCGUAAUUCGCCUCGCUUAGAACCUCUCGUGCUAAUUAUAUUAGUUAUUUGUUGGAUAGCUACUAGUGUGGUAGAUUUAAUCAAAACUAUAUAGCGGCUAUAAGUUAUACUUGAUAUUGUCAAGUUAAAUGUUAUGGUUAAUACUUGUUUAGCGUUAACGCGCUAACUUCUCAGCUGUAGCUUCGAGUUCGAUGUUUCUUUCCCUCGCGUGAUCGUAGAAUCGAGCUCUAGUUGAUGCUGCAUGUUUUUAUAACAUUUUAUCUUGUAUGGUGUAAUGUUCUUAUGCAUAUGUAUAUGUUUGUUUGCUUGUGCCGGUUUGUCUUCGCUUCGCGUUGCGACUAGAUCGUGAUUCGUUUCCAAACUUCGAGGAAUCGAUGAUCAAGCGCUGGCGACCAAGUGAUCUGGCUCUUCGAGUUCUACAAGAUUGAAGACCCUGACCAUCUGUUUGGUGAAGGCAAGUGUCCUUUGACCUAUUAUGUCCCAUUUACUUUAUAAUUCAUCAACCCGCAUACCAUGAUCAACCUAAGGAUUGACUAGCUUUGUAUUUACCUUGUCCUUGCUUACCUUUUGGGUUAUUAUGGUUAGCAUUUUGCUAUUGCCUUAACUUAAUCAAUGAACAUGAUGUGACUAUUUAUGAUACGAUACUGUUAUCCUGAUUAUGCUGUUGAUCUUGUGAUACUCUAGGGGGCUCAGGCUGUUUCCUGAGUACCUCUCCGUAAGGACCUGUUCGUUGAGAGACCACCCGGGAUAACAGUGCAACCAUGAGGGUGGAAUGGGGUGCCCUUAGCUAAUUAAUUAGAGGAACUAGAGGUGUAGUUGCUUCGCCGUCGUGCCGUCAAUGGGGUCCAGGCACAGUGCUUGCUCUGCCGAGGCUGGGUGCCGAGGUUCUUUCGUUUUGCUUUUGUUAGUCACCCCCCUUCGGGGAGAGGUACUGUGUUUAUCAAACUGGAGAAACCUAACGGGCGGCUAUGACCUCUAGGGAAUCUUUGUAAAAGCUACGUAGUGAUACCCUGCCGGACCACCUAGGAAGUGAUCAAUGGGGAGUCAUGAUCCCCGGGCAAAACGGGAAUCACGGCUCAUGGGUAAAGUGUACGACCUCUGCAGAGUGUUAUGAAACUGAUAUAUCAGUCGUGCUCACGGUUAUGAGCGGCCUUGGGAUCCUCUUUGAUUAGAGAUACAGAUGGUUCAAUAUACAAUGAUUCUAUUGAUGGUUUUGGUUCGAUGAUGAUAAUGAUGUUUCCUCGAUGAGGAAAUGGUUCACGGGUUGGUUAUUACUAAAACUUGGCUUCCACUGAUAAUAAAUAUCUGACCAACUAAAAGUAACUGCUUGAGCUUAACCCCACAUAAAGCUAGUCCACCUCAGCCAAACGGGACAUUUGCUGAGUACGUUGAUGUGUACUCACCCUUGCUUUCACAAAACACCAGGUUGCCUUUGGUGCAAUCUAUGCUCAGGUAAAGAAGAAGGCGUCGAGGUGGAUCUCCAGGAGUUCCAGGAUGUUGAUGAGUUCGAGGAUUAGGCUAACGAUCUCCCCCAGUCAGCUGCCUGUGGUGGGUUGUUUACGUUGGCUACGUUUCGAUUCUGCGUACUUUGAUUUAUAUUAUGUAAAUGACUCUAGUCUGUAAUAUUAUUACUUACUCUUUAUUGUAAUUCGAAGCAUUGUGCUAUGAUGAGUCAUUUAUGUAAUCGCUGUGUACGUGAAUUACUGAUCCUGGCACGUACAUGGUUCGCAUUCGCUUUACCUUCCAAAACCGGGUGUGACAAACCGCUUGCCCCGUCGCAUUAACUCCGCGGCGGGACAAGCGGCGCCUCUGGCAAGGGAAGCGAGCGACGCUUCGCCUUCGCCAUAAUGACCGUGUCAAAAAAGGUACGCCACGUCAUAACUGUCGGGGACCAUAAUUAGGGGUACCCUCAAGACUCCUAAUUCUCAGCUGGUAACCCCCAUCAGCACAAAGCUGCAAAGGCCUGAUGGGUGCGAUUAAGUCAGGAUCGGUCCAUUCGAGGGACUCGAUCACGCCUCGCCCGAUCCUAGCCUCGGGCAAGGGCAGCCGACCCCGGAGGAUCUCCGUCUCGCCCGAGGCCCCCCUCCAGCGACGAACAUACUUCCGGCUCGCCCGAGGCCCUGUCUUCGCCAAGAAGCAACCCUGACCAAAUCGCCGCGCCAACCGACCAAAUCGCAGGAGCAUUUAAUGCAAAGGUGGCCUGACACCUUUAUCCUGACGCGCGCCCUUCAGUCGACAGAGCCGAAGUGACCGCAGUCACUUCGCCGCUCCACUGACCGGCCUAACAGAAGGACAGCGCCGCCUGCGCCGCACCGACUGCUUUGCCACUCGACAGAGUGAGGCUGACAUGCAGUCAGUCCCGGCCUCACGCACCAUAGGAAGCUCUGCUUCGCCCGACCUAGGGCUCGGACUUGGGCUCAGCCUCAGAAGACGGCGAACUCCGCUCCGCCCUAUCCAGGGAGCGGACUUGGGCUCAGCCCCGGAAGACGGCGAACUCCGCUCCGCCCGACCCAGGGCUCGGACUCGGGCUAAGCCCCGGAAGACGGCGAACUCCGCUCCGCCCGACCCAGGGCUCGGACUCGGGCUAAGCCCCGGAAGACGGCGAACUCCGCUCCGCCCGACCCAGGGCUCGGACUCGGGCUAAUCCCCGGAAGACGGCGAACUCUGCUCCGCCCGACCCAGGGCUCGGACUCGGGCUCAGCCCCUGAAGACGACGAACUCCGCUUCGCCCGACCCCAGGCUUGGACUCAGCCCUGGCCUCAGCCGACGGUCUCCGCCUCGCCCGACCCAGGGGCUCAGACUCGACCUCGGAGGAGCCUCCACAUCACCCAACCUAGGGCGCGGACCGGCCACGUCAACAAGAGGCGCCAUCAUUACCCUACCCCAAGCUGACUCAGGCUACGGGAAACAAGACCGGCGUCCCAUCUGGCUCGCUCCGCCAGACAAAGUAAUGAUGGCGCCCCGCACGCUCUAUGAAGAUGGCGGCUCUCAGCCCCCUUACGGAAGCAAGAGGACGUCAGCAAGGACUCGACAGCCCCGACAGCUGUCCUUCCGCCAGGCUUCAGCGCUCCUCCGACGGCCACGACACCACACGAACCGGGUGCCAAAACCUCUCCGGCUGCCACGAUGGCAUGUACUUAGGGCGCUAGCUCUCCUCCGCUAGACACGUUAGCACUCUGCUACACCCCCAUUGUACACCUGGAUCCUCUCCUUACGCCUAUAAAAGGAAGGACCAGGGCCCUCUUACAGAGGGUUGGCCGCGCGGGGACGAGGACGAGACAGGCGCUCGCGUGAGGCCGCUCGCUCCCUCUCCCGCGUGGACGCUUGUAACCCCCUACUGCAAGCGCACCCGACCUGGGCGCGGGACGAACACGAAGGCCGCGGGAUUUCCACCUCUCUCACGCCCGUCUCCGGCUGCCUUUUUCCCCCCUUCGCGCUCGGCCUCGCGCCGACCCAUCUGGGCUGGGGCACGCAACGACAUUUCACUCGUCGGCCCAGGGACCCCCCGGUCUCGAAACGCCGACAAAAAUAUUUUAAAUUAAAAUGAGUAAAUCGGUAAUACGGACUUAUCGGCCACAAUUGAUUAUCAAUUAAUUAGCUGAUUAGCCGGAUUAAUCGGCUCUGUGACCAUGGGCAAAAGUAAACCAGAAUAAUUACAGAACUUGGAAGAUCCCAUGUUAGAAUGUUCGAGGCGUGUAAUCAAGAAGAGGAUGGUAAACAAUUAAGACUUGUUCGUUUUAACCCCAAUCCAUAUGGAUUGAGAGGAAUUGAGGGGGGUUUCAAUCUCUAAUAAGUCAGAAUAUCUCCCAAUCCAUUUCAAUCCCCUCCAAUUCAUAUGGAAUGAAAAUAACCGAACAAGCCUUAAGAAGUCAUUGGUUCUAGCAUUUAACGACGGGAUCUGUUCACAACACGAACAGAUAGGGAUGAUUUCUGCUCGCUUCACCAUCAACAAUACCAGGGUAACCAGUCAUGUUACUCAUGUACUUCAGAUUGAUUACGCCCGGUUUGAGCGGCAACAUAUGACACUCGCAUUGAGAUUGUUACUAUAGGUGAACCAAACAAAACAUUAAUAGGGUGCUUGCUGUUUGGUUUGAGAUAUGAGAUAGUGAAAGUCACCUUAUAAACUUUAAGCACAAUCUACAAGCCGGGUUAGCGUUAGAAAUAUAGUCGAGUCCGAAAGAGAGGGCGAAAACAAAUCACAAGCAAAUAAGAGCGGAUGACACGGUAAUUUGUUUUACCGAGGUUCGGUUCUUGCAAACCUACUCCCCGUUGAGGGCUUGUUCGGUUACACCAAUUCAGAAGGGGAUUGGAGAGGUUUAAAUCCCCUCAUAGUCAUUUUUGACUACGAGAGGAUUUAAUCCCCUUCUGGAUUGGUGUAACCAAACAUGCCCUGAGGUGGUCACAAAGACCGGGUCUCUUUCAACCCUUUCCCUCUCUCUACCGAUCACUAAGACCGGUGAGCUUUUCUCCUCAAUCAAUUGGGUCACUUAGACCCCACAGGGACCACCACAACUUGGUGUCUCUUGCUUUGAUUACAAGGUUGUUGAGAACAAGAAAUGGGGAAGAAGAAAAGCGAUCCAAGUGCAAAAGCUCAAAAGAACACGGCAAAACUCUCUUUUCUAGUCACUAAUGCUUUGAGUGGAAUUUGGGACUUUGAGAGAUUUUGAUUCACUCUAACUGUGUCUUGUAUUGAAUGCACUAGCUCUUGUAUUGAAUGUGUUGGCUGAAAACUUGGAUGUCUUGAAGUGUGGUGGUUGGGGGGUAUUUAUAGCCCCAACCACCAAUAUGGCCGUUGGGGAAGGCUUCUGUCGACGGGCGCACCGGACAGUCCGGUGCGCCACCGGACACUGUCCGGUGCGCCAGCCACGUCACCCAACCGUUAGGGUUCGACCGUUGGAGCUCUGACAAGUGGGGCCACCGGACAGUCUGGCGGUGUACUGGACAGUCAUUGUUCACUGUCCGGUGCGCCAUCUGGCGUCUGCUCUAACUCUGCGCGCGCAGUCCGCACUGUUCACUGUUCGCUAUUGCUUUUGCAGACGACCGUUGGCGCUGUUAGCCGUUGCUCCGCAUGGCACACCGGACAGUCCGAGAGGCUCCCCGAAUUCCCGAAGCUGAGGAGUUUGAGCUUUGAUUGUCUUUUGCUCUUUUUAUUUGAACUCUUUCUUGGACUUUUUAUUGGUUUGUGUUGAACCUUUGGCAUCUGUAAAACUUAU
rnacentral:lncRNA from 1 species